GACGAACGCUGGCGGCGUGCUUAACACAUGCAAGUCGAACGGGCCUUGUCCCCUUUUUUUUUGGGGGUGGGGUUAGUGGCGAACGGGUGAGUAACACGUGAGUAACCUGCCCCUCACUUCUGGAUAACCGCUUGAAAGGGUGGCUAAUACGGGGUGUUCUGGCCUGCUCGCAUGGGUGGGUUUGGAAAGAUUCGACCGGUUUUGGUUGUUUUGGUGGGGGAUGGGCGCGCGGCCUAUCAGCUGGUGGGUGGGGUGCUGGCCUGCCAAGGCUUUGACGGGUAGCCGGCCUGAGAGGGUGGGCGGCCACACUGGGACUGAGACCCGGCCCAGACUCCUACGGGAGGCAGCAGUGGGGAAUAGUGCACAAUGGGCGCACGCCUGAUGCAGCGACGCCGCGUGAGGGAUGGAGGCCUUCGGGUUGUGAACCUCUUUCGCCAGUGAAGAAGGUCCUGCUCUUUGUGGUGGGGUUGACGGUAGCUGGGUUAAUGAAGCGCCGGCUAACUACGUG
rnacentral:rRNA from 1 species